rnacentral:rRNA from 1 species
UUAAGGGUAUAUGGGGGAUGUCUUGGCAUUAGAAGGCAAUGAAAGGCGUGUAAGUCUGCGAUAAGCCUGGGGUAGCUGACAAAUAAGCAUUGAUCCCGGGAUUCCUGAGCUAACCGUGUGAACUGAAACAUCUAAGUAACACGAGGAAGAGAAAGAAAAAUCGAUUCCGUCAGUAGCGGCGAGCGAAAGCGGAACAGCCCAAACCACGGGGGUUUCCCCUGUGGGGUUGUAGGACUUUACAUAUGAGAGUUACAAAGCUUUGGUUAACAGAACUGUUUGGAACGGCAGACCACAGAGGGUGAGAGUCCCGUAAGUGAAAACCACAAGCCUCUCGUAGAGCACCUGAGUAGGGCCCGUCACGUGAAACCGGGUCUGAAUCAACGGGGACCAUCCCGUAAGGCUAAAUACUCUCUAAUGACCGAUAGUGAACUCAGUAGCGCGAGUGAAAGAUGAAAAGUACCCCGGUUAGGGGAGUGAAAUAGUAUCUGAAACCAUAUACCUACAAGCGGUCGGAGCACUAUGAUUCGUUCAGUGUGACGGCGUGCCUUUUGCAUAAUGAUCCGGCGAGUUGUCGUAAUAGGCUUGGUUAAGGACUUACGGUCCGGAGCCCUAGGGAAACCGAGUGUGAAUAGCGCGACCUUUGUCUAUUGCGGCAGACGCGAACCCUGGUGAUCUACCCAUGAGCAGGUUGAAGCGCGGGUUAUACUGCGUGGAGGACCGAACCCACUUAGGUUGAAAACUGAGGGGAUGACUUGUGGGGAGGAGUGAAAGUCUAAUCAAACCAGGAGAUAGCUCGUUCUCUGCGAAAUAUCUUUAGGGAUAGCGUCUGGUAAACUAUGUCAUGGGGGUAGAGACACUGAUUUGGAUGGGGGCCCUUCCCGGGGUACCCCACUGAACCAAACUCCGAAUACCAUGAUAAUUACCCAGGCAGUCAGUCCGUGUGGGAUAAGCUGCACGGUCGAAAGGGAAACAACCCAGACCAUCGUCUAAGGUCCCCAAGUAGUACUCAGUCACUAAGGAAGUUAGUUUGCUGAGACAGCCAGGAUGUUGGCUUAGAAGCAGCCACCAUUUAAAAAGUGCGUAACAGCUUACUGGUCGAGCAGACUUGCGCCGAUAAUGAACGGGAGUAAGUACUACACCGAAGACAUGGGUUAGCAAUAGCGGUAGCAGAGCGCUGUAAGAGAGAUACAAGCCCAACCGUAAGGAUGGGUCACGGCUCUUACAGGUGAUUAUGUCGGAAUGAGUAACGAUAAAACAGGUGAGAAUCCUGUUCGCCGAAAACCUAAGGUUUCCUGGGGAAGGUAAAUCCGCCCAGGGUUAGGCGGUUCCUUAGUUGAGGCCGAAAGGCGUAGACGAUGGAUAGCAGGUUAAUAUUCCUGCCCCAGUUUGUGGAGCGAUGGAGGGACGGGAUCCAGAAUGCACGCGGACGGUUAGAAAUGUCCGUGGAGUUCACUGAGUUGGGGGAAUGUAAAUGCGUCCCCAUAAUACAAGGUGUUCGACCAACCGGCUUGACCGGGAUUGUGUUGGAAGGAUCUCCAAGAAAAGCUUCUAAGCUUUGAAGCAAACUGACCGUACUAAAACUGACACAGGUAGGUGAGUCGAGUAGACUAAGGCGCUCGGGAGAACGGUGGUUAAGGAACUCUGCAAAAUGGCCCCGUAAGUUCGCGAUAAGGGGUGCCCCUGAUGGUUUACGCUGUCGGGGGCCACAGUAAAUCGGCUCCUUCGACUGUUUAUCAAAAACACAGGACUCUGCAAACUCGUAAGAGGACGUAUAGAGUCUGACGCCUGCCCGGUGUUGGUAGGUUAAGGAAGACGGUUAUCCUUCGGGAGAAGCUGGCAACCGAAGCCCCAAUAAACGGCGGCCGUAACUAUGACGGUCCUAAGGUAGAAUUUUCUGCCCAUUGAAGCGGUGACGUUUCAAUUGCAUCUUGCUAUAUGCUGGAACAUCUGAGUAUCUGGUGGUACUCGUUCGAAUCUCUGAUUCGUUCAGUAAAAAUCCAACCAGUGCAGACAAUCAGCAGGAAACCAAUUCAUUGGUUGUGACUUGUCACAGCUAACAUUGUUGGGAUCCUCAGAGACUAAACGCAAGACAACUUCUUUCCGUGAAGACUACGACGUAACUGACGUGGUUGGAAUUGAGUUGAAGAUAUAGUCCGAGCUGCAUGGCGACAUGCAGAGGGCAACAGAAAUGUUGUUCCGCCGAUGGUGAGCAUAAAUCUCUUGCUCACACGUUCUGAUUUUGUUCGAAGCAUAAUCAGGACAGCAGUUUCUUAGCUUAUUCAUUGGGUCUGGCUUUUGGUCAGAUCAUGUCAAACGCCUACGUUUGACAGAGGUUGGAUCUUAGCUAGAUCCGGUUAGUAGUGCUAAAUCUUUCAUGAUUUUUAAAUGGCUGUUUUUGGUAGUAACAUACUGAGCGAAGUUCCUUGUCGGGUAAGUUCCGACCUGCAUGAAAGGCGUAACGAGAGGAGCACUGUCUCAACCACCGACCCGGUGAAAUUGUAGUCGUGGUGAAGAUGCCACGUACCCGCGGUUAGACGGAAAGACCCCGUGAACCUUUACUGUAGGCAGAUAUUGGGUUGAGUUAUGUUUUGUGCAGUGCUAGGUGGGAGGCUUUGAAGCUGGACGCCAGUUCAGUGGAGCCGAAAGGUGAGAUACCACCCUUAAUAUGAUUUAAUUCUAACUUUGACCCUUGAAUCAGGGCAAAGGACAGUUUCUGUUGGGCAGUUUGACUGGGGCGGUCUCCUCCCAAAGAGUAACGGAGGAGUGCAAUGGUACACUCAGCCUGGUUGGCAAUCAGGCGUCGAGCAUAAAGGUAGAAGUGUGCUUAACUGCGAGACUCAUCAGUCGAGCAGAUACGAAAGUAGGUCUUAGUGAUCCUGUGGUUCCGAAUGGAAGGGCCAUAGCUCAUCAGAUAAAAGGUACUCCGGGGAUAACAGGCUUAUCGCAUCCGAGCGUCCAUAGCGGCGAUGCGGUUUGGCACCUCGAUGUCGGCUCAUCACAUCCUGGGGGUGAAGAAGCUCCCAAGGGUUUGGCUGUUCGCCAAUGAAAGUGGUACGUGAGCUGGGUUCAGACCGUCGUGAGACAGGUCGGUCCCUAUCUGCCGUGGGCGUACGAAACUUGAGGAGGUUCUUCUUUAGUACGAGAGGAUUUGGAAGGACGAAGCGCUGGUGUACCAGUUGUCACGCUAGUGGCACGGCUGGAUAGCUAACUUCGGAAAAGAUAAACGCUGAAAGCAUCUAAGCGUGAAGCUCUCUCCAAGAUAAGGUUUCGUAAGUUCAUUCGAACGAAAGUCCCCUGAAAGACGAUCAGGUUGAUAGGCCAUAUGUGUAAGUGCAGCAAUGUACUCAGCUAAAUGGUACUAACGGACGAAAGCUUGACCA